UAUACAACUAGCAAAGAAGACGAUGAAAUUAGAAGCAUUGACUUUUGUGAAAUCAACAGUAAAGAUUACAUUGGCGAUGAGAUAAAAGAAUGCGUUACGAAUAGCAAACAAAGGCUCUUUCUAGUUCCACAUAUUUUUCUUACCUUAAUAACAUUGUAUUUUGAUUUUUGACGCUUUAUUCAUGAAAUGAGCAUGUUUCUUUAGUGUCUUUGAUUCUGUCACUACUUCACAUAAGAAGCUUGUUGUUGCAGCUAUUACGCGCGGCAUAAAUCUUGUGUGGCCACAGAU
rnacentral:lncRNA from 1 species